CUUCUGCUCGGAAACUCAGAGACAAAUUGUCCAGUAAUCGUAGCUUCUAGCACAGCUCUGCUGAACAGCUGAUCAUUCAAUAAAACAGCAAAAUUCGCAUGCAGUAAAGAAGUGGCCAAAGAUCAGUACUAAAGAGCUGUGCAGCGGAGGAACAUUGCAUGACACCUGUUUCCAUGACAACUUACACAGCCACAGGAUUUACUGAAAAGAGUCUGAUUAACAACCUUCUCCACGGUUACGAC